rnacentral:rRNA from 1 species
AGCAGCCGCCACGGUAAUACGAAGGGUGCAAGCGUUACUCGGAAUUACUGGGCGUAAAGCGUGCGUAGGUGGUGGCUUAAGUCCGUUGUGAAAGCCCUGGGCUCAACCUAGGAAUUGCAGUGGAUACUGGGUCACUAGAGUGUGGUAGAGGAUAGUGGAAUUUCCGGUGUAGCGGUGAAAUGCGUAGAGAUCGGGAGGAACAUCAGUGGCGAAGGCGGCCAUCUGGGACAACACUGACGCUGAGGCACGAAAGCGUGGGGAGCAAACAGGAUCAGAUACCCGCGUAGUCCCUGUCUCUUAUAC